GGAACCGAGUUCCCAGGCCGGACGCGCGGUGGCCUGACGGUCGCAAGGAUUACAUUCGCCUGACCCGGCCCGGCUUGACCCUGCCCGGGCGCGCCAUGUUCGCGCGUGGGUCCCGGAGGCGCCGCUCCGGGCGUGCGCCUCCAGAGGCAGAGGACCCAGACCGGGGCCAGCCCUGCAACUCCUGUAGGGAGCAGUGCCCCGGCUUCCUGCUCCACGGCUGGAGAAAGAUCUGCCAGCAUUGCAAAUGCCCGCGGGAGGAGCAUGCAGUGCACGCGGUGCCUGUGGACCUGGAACGCAUCAUGUGUCGGCUAAUCUCGGACUUCCAGCGCCACUCCAUCUCCGACGACGACUCAGGCUGUGCAUCGGAGGAGUAUGCCUGGGUGCCCCCAGGCCUUAAGCCGGAGCAGGUGACCAGAGGCCAGCCCUCCACUCUUGCUGUCCAGUGGGUGCACACUAAUGCUCACACACACACACACACACUCAGGUGGGAACCUAUUUCUGGGGCUACGCUAGAGUGUGCAGUCAGACCGAGGGUCCUUCUGGCCCC
rnacentral:sRNA from 1 species